GGGAGGGGGAGGGGCGGGAACACCUAGGGGCGAGGCCUGGGCGGGGCGCCGAGGCGGAAGGGGCGGGAGCUCCCCAACGACAGGCGCUGUCACUUCCGGCGGCCGCGGCGUGCACUGUCGGUCGGCGGCUAAGGAGGGGAGGCACCUGCAUCUGGGGCGCGGCGAAUCCUCGCGUGCGCCAGGCCGCCUGGGGUAGUCGCCGAGACUGCGCCGGCCAGCGGGGCCGAAACCUAAUCAGGAGCUGAGCUUUGAUGGCGGCUUCUGGAGGGACAAAGAAGGCGCAGAGCGGUGGGAGGAGGCUGCGAGAACCUAGCUCCCGCCCCAGCCGACGUGCGAGACAAAGGCCCCGGCGCGGGGCUCUUCGGAAGGCCGGGAGGUUCCUGUGACAAUGCGAGUCUGCGCCCCACGCUCCCGCACCGUGAUGCCGAGGCCAAAUGGCUAGAGUGGGCCCAGGCAUCAGCAUUUCUGUUUGGCAGCCGGGCAGUUGUGGUGCACGUUUUGAGGAACUACUAAAGCCUGCCUGUGAUGAAAAAGGCAAAAGCUGACUUCACCAAAAUUACUCCCAGGGAGACUUCUGCAUUUGGCUGGAAGGACAUUUGAGUAAACCGCUGAGGCUGGUGGUUGAAACAUAAUCCUCUAAGGGAGAUCGGUUCCGAUACCCUGAGUUAGGGACGCUUGCCUGGGCAGAGCUAAGGGGAGAAUGAUCAAAAGCCAAGCUCUGUCCCCGUCAGCACGUCACCCUCCCUCACUGUAAUCCCUGACUGUUUUCUCUAAAUGAAGAAUUAUUUAGAGAAUAUAAAUUAGAAGGGCCGCCACGUCAGAAUUGCCUGAGUGGGAGCAGUCUUUCCAGCCUCGAAAAAUGUUUAAACAAUAUGCAGAUGACCUAGCACAAAUAAAGAAUGCUAGCAACCGCUGUUAUGUGUGAGCGGUGGAAUUGGGAGGGCUCUUCCCCCAAUCUUCAUCAAACAGAGUAAGGUUUAGAAUAAAAAUAAUGAAAUACAGUCUUUCAAAAAGAGCAGCGCUUGACUAAUGUUACUGAUGUCACUCAUGUUACUCAAGGGAGGAAAGAACUCAAACUCUACAUAAUAAUACCCACUGAUUUCAAGGGCUGGCA
rnacentral:lncRNA from 1 species